rnacentral:rRNA from 1 species
AGCUCAAAUUUGAAAUCUGGCCUCUCGGGGUCCGAGUUGUAAUUUAGAGAAGUGUUACCCGUGCUGGCCCGUGUAUAAGUCUCCUGGGAUGGAGCGUCAUAGAGGGUGAGAAUCCCGUCUUUG